CAAUAGCGUAUAUUUAAGUUGUUGCAGUUAAAAAGCUCGUAGUUGGAUUUUGGGUCGGGGGCACCGGUCCGCCGUUCCGGUGUGCACUGGUGGCCCCUUCCUUUCUGCCGGGGACGUGCGUCGCACUUAAUUGGGUGGCGUUCGGAGUCGGCGUUGUUACUUUGAAAAAAUUAGAGUGUUCAAAGCAAGCCAUCGCUCUGAAUACAUUAGCAUGGAAUAACAUGAUAGGACUCUGGUCUUAUUUUGUUGGUUUCCGAGACUGGAGUAAUGAUUAAGAGGGACAGUCGGGGGCAUCCGUAUUUCAUUGUCAGAGGUGAAAUUCUUGGAUUUAUGAAAGACGAACUUCUGCGAAAGCAUUUGCCAAGGAUGUUUUCAUUA
rnacentral:rRNA from 1 species